rnacentral:lncRNA from 1 species
UGGGACAGUAGUAUAACAGUACAACAUAAGAACGAACUAUAAAAAUCAGUUGAAAAAGGCUUAACUCAUCAGAUGGACAGAAAUACAAGUGGACGUGGAAUAGCCAACAUUAAUCCGAUUAUAAACGACUAAACUCGCUUUUAUUACACAAAAUAUCCACAAUAACAUACAAAACAAGAACAAAAACUGGAAAACCAGAGAUUAUUGACAACAAAGAGAAUUCAGGGAUUCGAACCUAA